AGAGUUUGAUCCUGGCUCAGAUUGAACGCUGGCGGAAUGCUUUACACAUGCAAGUCGAACGGCAGCACGGGAGCUUGCUCCUGGUGGCGAGUGGCGAACGGGUGAGUAAUGUAUCGGAACGUACCCCGUCGUGGGGGAUAACUCUCCGAAAGGAGAGCUAAUACCGCAUACGACCCGAGGGUGAAAGCGGGGGACCUGGGGUAACCUGGGCCUCGCGCGAUGGGAGCGGCCGAUAUCGGAUUAGCUAGUUGGUGGGGUAAAGGCCUACCAAGGCGACGAUCCGUAGCGGGUCUGAGAGGACGACCCGCCACACUGGAACUGAGACACGGUCCAGACUCCUACGGGAGGCAGCAGUGGGGAAUUUUGGACAAUGGGCGCAAGCCUGAUCCAGCCAUUCCGCGUGAGUGAAGAAGGCCUUCGG
rnacentral:rRNA from 1 species